rnacentral:rRNA from 1 species
GCAUCGAUGAAAAACGCAGCGAAAUGCGAUAAGUAAUGUGAAUUGCAGAAUUUCAGUGAAUCAUCGAAUCUUUGAACGCACAUUGCGCCCAUUAGUAUUCUAGUGGGCAUGCCUGUUCGAGCGUCAUU